GAUGAACGCUGGCGGCGUGCCUAAUACAUGCAAGUCGAGCGAACAGACGAGGAGCUUGCUCCUUUGACGUUAGCGGCGGACGGGUGAGUAACACGUAGGUAACCUACCUAUAAGACUGGGAUAACUUCGGGAAACCGGAGCUAAUACCGGAUAAUAUUUCGAACCGCAUGGUUCGAUAGUGAAAGAUGGCUUUGCUAUCACUUAUAGAUGGACCUGCGCCGUAUUAGCUAGUUGGUAAGGUAACGGCUUACCAAGGCAACGAUACGUAGCCGACCUGAGAGGGUGAUCGGCCACACUGGAGCUGAGACACGGUCCAGACUCCUACGGGAGGCAGCAGUAGGGAAUCUUCCGCAAUGGGCGAAAGCCUGACGGAGCAACGCCGCGUGAGUGAUGAAGGUCUUCGGAUCGUAAAACUCUGUUAUUAGGGAAGAACAAACGUGUAAGUAACUGUGCACGUCUUGACGGUACCUAAUCAGAAAGCCACGGCUAACUACGUA
rnacentral:rRNA from 1 species